AACGAACGCUGGCGGCAGGCUUAACACAUGCAAGUCGAACGAGAUCUUCGGAUCUAGUGGCAGACGGGUGAGGAACACGUGGGAACAUCCCUUUCAGUUCGGAAUAACGUUGGGAAACUAACGCUAAUACCGGAUACGUCCUUCGGGAGAAAGAUUUAUCGCUGAAAGAUUGGCCCGCGUCUGAUUAGCUAGUUGGUGAGGUAAUGGCUCACCAAGGCUACGAUCAGUAGCUGAUCUGAGAGGAUGAUCAGCCACAUUGGGACUGAGACACGGCCCAAACUCCUACGGGAGGCAGCAGUGGGGAAUAUUGGACAAUGGGCGCAAGCCUGAUCCAGCCAUGCCGCGUGAGUGAUGACGGCCUUCGGAUUGUAAAGCUCUUUUGUCCGGGAAGAUAAUGACUGUACCGGAAGAAUAGGCCCCGGCAAACUUCGUGCCAGCAGCCGCGGUAA
rnacentral:rRNA from 1 species